CAGCAGGCACGCAAUUACCCACUCCCUGGCACGGGGAGGUAGUGACAAAAAAUAACGAUACGGGACUCAUCCGAGGCCCCGUAAUCGGAAUGAGUACACUUUAAAUCCUUUCAUGAGGAUCCAUUGGAGGGCAAGCCUGGUGCCAGCAGCCGCGGUAAUUCCAGCUCCAAUAGCGUAUAUUAAAGUUGUUGCGGUUAAAAAGCUCGUAGUUGGUUCUGUGUGCCAUGCUGUUGGUUCACCGCCUGUCGGUGUUACUAACAUGUCAUGGAACGUCUUGUCGGUGGUAAUUAAAGACUUAUUUUAUAGUAAAAGUUUUAUACUUGAACUAUAAAUAGGUUCCUUUAAUUACCGAUUAGUUCCUACCGCGGUGCUCUUCAUUGAGUGUCGAGGUCGGCCGACAAGUUUACUUUGAACAAAUUAGAGUGCUUAAAGCAGGCAAAAGUCUGCCUUGAAUAGUGGUGCAUGGAAUAAUAGAAUAGGACCUUGGUUCUAUUUUGCUGGUUUUCUGAAUCCAAGGUAAUGAUCAAUAUGGACAGGCGGGGGCAUUCGUAUUGCGACGUUAGAGGUGAAAUUCUUGGAUCGUCGCAAGACGAACUAGAGCGAAAGCAUUUGCCAAGUAUGUCUUAAUUGAUCAAGAACGAAAGUUAGAGGUUCGAAGGCGAUCAGAUACCGCCCUAGUUCUAACCAUAAACGAUGCCAGCUAGCGAUCCGCCGAUGUUUUUCUCAUGACUCGACGGGCAGCUCCCCGGGAAACCAAAGCUUUUGGGUUCCGGGGGAAGUAUGGUUGCAAAGCUGAAACUUAAAGGAAUUGACGGAAGGGCACCACCAGGAGUGGAGCUUGCGGUUUAAUUUGACUCAACACGGGAAACUUUAUCAGGCCCAGACAUUGGAAGGAUUGACAGAUUGAUAGCUCUUUCUUGAUUCAAUGGGUAGUG
rnacentral:rRNA from 1 species